rnacentral:rRNA from 1 species
GACGAACGCUGGCGGCGUGCUUAACACAUGCAAGUCGAACGGUAAGGCCCUUCGGGGUACACGAGUGGCGAACGGGUGAGUAACACGUGGGUGAUCUGCCCUGCACUUCGGGAUAAGCCUGGGAAACUGGGUCUAAUACCGGAUAGGACCACUGCCUGCAUGGGUGGUGGUGGAAAGCUUUUGCGGUGUGGGAUGGGCCCGCGGCCUAUCAGCUUGUUGGUGGGGUGAUGGCCUACCAAGGCGACGACGGGUAGCCGGCCUGAGAGGGUGACCGGCCAAACUGGGACUGCGAUACGGCCCAGACUCCGACGGGAGGCAGCAGUGGGGAAUAUUGCACAAUGGGCGCAAGCCUGAUGCAGCGCCGCCGCGUGAGGGAUGACGGCCUUCGGGUUGUAAACCUCUUUCAGCACCGACGAAGCGCAAGUGACGGUAGGCGCAGAAGAAGGACCGGCCAACUACGUGCCAGCCGCCGCCGUAA